rnacentral:rRNA from 1 species
AUGUUCGCCGAUGCGGGCUUUAGCUUCUCCGCCUACUCUUCUGUGUUGUCGGGCUACUCCUACUCCUACUCCCCUGUCUUCUCCCAUCCCCACCCAGACUACUCCUCCUUCUUCUCUCCCUCAUCCUCUGCUGCACUGGCACAACCGCCGCUGCCACCCCUGCCUCUCCUGCACCAACAACAUCAAGUCACUGUUGUUGCCGCACCCAAAGACGUCGCCGCCGCCACCAUGUACCACCACCUUGGAGACAUGGGGCAGCCAUCCCUGAUAGCAGAGUAUGACCUGGGAGCAGAAGGCGACCUGUUCAAGGCUCCGGAGCCCAUAAUCGAGGAGCCGCUGCUCACCCUCGACCCCGUCGCCGCCGCCAUCUCCAUGAUGUCCGGCAGCGACAACGCCAUGAACGACACCAUCAAGGCCUCGGACAUGAGCCUGAGCGAGGCGUUGUACAAGUGCGAGAAGGAGCUCAUGGAGGACUCGGCGAUCGAUGAGACGAUAUCCGAGCUGCUGGACGCCAAGAUCCCCAUGCUGCAGGUCGAGGACGUGCCCGGGAAGCUCAGGGCAUCGUCGUCCACAGCCGCUGCCGCCGCCGGCGAGUGCUCGCUCCAGAAGAGCGUCAGCUCCGGGUGCCUCAACUCGGCCGACUGGAUCAACGGUUCGGCGGUGCAGCCCAACUUGUUCAACUUCCAAGGGCUCGACUUCGAGGCCGCAUUCGNNNNNNNNNNNNNNNNNNNNNNNNNNNNNNNNCAGAUCCUUGGUGCCAACACCCCUCCAAUUGGGAUCGCGGCAAAUGUGUGCGCAUCUGGUGAGAGGCUUGUGACCAUCAGUGACCUGAAAAGUGAGGAAAGGAAACAAAAGCUCAACAGAUACAGGGAGAAGAAGAUCCAGAGGAACUUUGGCAGAAAGAUCAAGUAUGCUUGCAGGAAGGCUCUGGCAGACAACCAGCCGAGGGUGCGAGGGAGGUUCGUCAAGAUGGACGUCGGCGACAUGCUCAAGCCGAGGAAGUAG